rnacentral:tRNA from 1 species
ACUUAAAUAGCUUAAAAUUUAGAGCAUGACACUGAAGAUGUCAGGGUGAUAGCUUAUAUCUUUAAGUA